rnacentral:rRNA from 1 species
GGGAAACAGGUUAAUAUUCCUGUACUUGGUGUUACUGCGAAGGGGGGACGGAGAAGGCUAUGUUGGCCGGGCGACGGUUGUCCCGGUUUAAGCGUGUAGGCUGGUUUUCCAGGCAAAUCCGGAAAACCAAGGCUGAGGCGUGAUGACGAGGCACUACGGUGCUGAAGCGACAAAUGCCCUGCUUCCAGGAAAAGCCUCUAAGCAUCAGGUAACAUCAAAUCGUACCCCAAACCGACACAGGUGGUCAGGUAGAGAAUACCAAGGCGCUUGAGAGAACUCGGGUGAAGGAACUAGGCAAAAUGGUGCCGUAACUUCGGGAGAAGGCACGCUGAUAUGUAGGUGAAGCGACUUGCUCGUGGAGCUGAAAUCAGUCGAAGAUACCAGCUGGCUGCAACUGUUUAUUAAAAACACAGCACUGUGCAAACACGAAAGUGGACGUAUACGGUGUGACGCCUGCCCGGUGCCGGAAGGUUAAUUGAUGGGGUUAGCGGCAACGCGAAGCUCUUGAUCGAAGCCCCGGUAAACGGCGGCCGUAACUAUAACGGUCCUAAGGUAGCGAAAUUCCUUGUCGGGUAAGUUCCGACCUGCACGAAUGGCGUAAUGAUGGCCAGGCUGUCUCCACCCGAGACUCAGUGAAAUUGAACUCGCUGUGAAGAUGCAGUGUACCCGCGGCAAGACGGAAAGACCCCGUGAACCUUUACUAUAGCUUGACACUGAACAUUGAGCCUUGAUGUGUAGGAUAGGUGGGAGGCUUUGAAGUGUGGACGCCAGUCUGCAUGGAGCCGACCUUGAAAUACCACCCUUUAAUGUUUGAUGUUCUAACGUUGGCCCCUAAUCGGGGUUGCGGACAGUGUCUGGUGGGUAGUUUGACUGGGGCGGUCUCCUCCUAAAGAGUAACGGAGGAGCACGAAGGUUGGCUAAUCCUGGUCGGACAUCAGGAGGUUAGUGCAAUGGCAUAAGCCAGCUUGACUGCGAGCGUGACGGCGCGAGCAGGUGCGAAAGCAGGUCAUAGUGAUCCGGUGGUUCUGAAUGGAAGGGCCAUCGCUCAACGGAUAAAAGGUACUCCGGGGAUAACAGGCUGAUACCGCCCAAGAGUUCAUAUCGACGGCGGUGUUUGGCACCUCGAUGUCGGCUCAUCACAUCCUGGGGCUGAAGUAGGUCCCAAGGGUAUGGCUGUUCGCCAUUUAAAGUGGUACGCGAGCUGGGUUUAGAACGUCGUGAGACAGUUCGGUCCCUAUCUGCCGUGGGCGCUGGAGAACUGAGGGGGGCUGCUCCUAGUACGAGAGGACCGGAGUGGACGCAUCACUGGUGUUCGGGUUGUCAUGCCAAUGGCACUGCCCGGUAGCUAAAUGCGGAAGAGAUAAGUGCUGAAAGCAUCUAAGCACGAAACUUGCCCCGAGAUGAGUUCUCCCUGAGACUUAGAGUCUCCUGAAGGAACGUUGAAGACGACGACGUUGAUAGGCCGGGUGUGUAAGCGCAGCGAUGCGUUGAGCUAACCGGUACUAAUGAACCGUGAGGCUUAACCUUACAACGCCGAAG